UUAUAAAUAUCAUAUACAUUUUUCAGCAGUAGAAGGCUUUCAGUAUUAAGCAGCUUCAUUUCUUUUCUCAGAAGUUUCCACUAUUUACAACACAAUUAUGCACACAAACUCAAAAUUAAGGUCCACUGUGUUCAAUGGACUUUGCCCCUAGGCAGAGGUGCUCAAACUUUCUCAGUUCAUAACACCUUUAGUAUGUCAAUAACUUUUGUCACAGGAAUCAAAUACUCCGCAAACAAGGUACAGUGAUAUCCUUGGGCACCACAGCUAACUUACUAACAGUUUCAUAUCCAGGAUAUCUGAGGAACCAUCUUACUCAUGCAGAGAUUGGUCCAUCCCACUUGCUUCAGUAGAAGGGGCAUGCUACAGACUGUCAGCUAAGUAAAUUUGCUUGGUGGGUCUUAGAGCAGGGUUUUUUCUGCCAUAGCUCUUGUCCUUUGGAAUAUUAUGCCCCCUCAAGGUGAGAUUUGCCUCCACCCUCUUAGCCUUCUGAAAGGACCUGAAAAUAUGGCUCUGCCUAUUGGCUUAUGGCUGGGGUCUCCCACUAACCCCAAGAUUA